rnacentral:rRNA from 1 species
GCCAGACUCCUACGGGAGGCAGCAGUGAGGAAUAUUGGUCAAUGGGCUUACGCCUGAACCAGCCAAGUCGCGUGAGGGAGGACGGCCCUACGGGUUGUAAACCUCUUUUGCCGGGGAGCAACGGGCGUCACGUGUGGCGCCACUGAGAGUACCCGGAGAAAAAGCAUCGGCUAACUCCGUGCCAGCAGCCGCGGUAAUACGGAGGAUGCGAGCGUUAUCCGGAUUUAUUGGGUUUAAAGGGUGCGCAGGCGGCGUGUCAAGUCAGCGGUAAAAUGUCGGGGCUCAACCCCGGCCGGCCGUUGAAACUGGCGUGCUCGAGUUGGAGAGAAGUAUGCGGAAUUCGUGGUGUAGCGGUGAAAUGCAUAGAUAUCACGAAGAACCCCGAUUGCGAAGGCAGCAUACCGGCUCCACACUGACGCUGAGGCACGAAAGCGUGGGUAUCGAACAGGAUUAGAUACCCCUGUA